ACUGCAUUCAGUCACCCCUUUUUCGGGUUUGGCAACGCUAUCAAUCUGCGCUAGGAGUUCCCAUACUCGGGUCAACUGGCAGCUUCCGGAGUCGUUCGGAGUCCACAGAUCAAACGAUCGCGGCCACUUUUGGUGGUUCAAGAUAUGAUCGGCCUCGGCUGUCACUAGCCAAGAACGCGUGCGGAACCUGCGGAAGGAUCAUUA
rnacentral:rRNA from 1 species